UAUUCACAGUCAAAGCUCUGUGUGUUUUGUGUUGAAGUCAAGGGCAACAGCACAGACAAUACUUAGACCUGGACUUAGACCCAGUUGGAUGUCUGUCAAGAAUCUCCAGUUAAUUUCUGAAUCUCCUGAGUUCAAAGAUGGUCAGCAGUGUCCUGAUCAAAGCUCCUCAGGCUAAGACUGACAGACAGAGUUCCACUGGUCCAAGAAGGAGUUAGAUUCUAUACACUCUUCAGGUUUUGAAAGUCAGAACAAGUGGACAGAACUUGUCAAACAAG